GCUCUGUUUCUUUGGUUCUUCUACACGCCUUUCGCGAUCCCAGAGUCGAUAGAUUCGACGUUUCCUUUUUUCAUUUCUCCAGAUCCCGUUUUGCUAGAUCGAAUCGUGAAAUCCUUUGCUUUUCCUCUCUUAAUCCAUGUUAUCCGGUGAUCCUAAAAGAAGUGUUAUUCUAUCUCGAAGGAUUCCGAUGAGAUCUAAACGCAGCGAUGGAGGCUUGCCACAGAAAACCUUGCCGGCAGCCAAGACCGGGAAAUCAAAGGACAAAGGUUUUUUUUUGGGACUUGGCGGUCUGGAUCCACAUCCUCAACCUCCAACAUCGAGAGAUCAGCUCGGUUUUGGACAAUCUGCUCGGUCUUGGACAAUCUUCCCGUAUGAAUCUUAUAAUCGCCUAUGCCGCCACCGUUCAUCGUCUUCAUGGUUUAGUGGCCAAUGCUCCGGUAAUACUUGGAAGGAGUGACGAUAGUGAUGAUGACUCCGCUGGUGAAAACGUAAGAUCAACCGGUCUAGAUAGUCAGCCAUCUGUAUCAGUCGUGCUUUUGAAAACCAAGGAGAAAAUCGCUUGCUUCACCACCGAUCAACCACGCCAGCAGAAGAAGCACAAGAGUCAGAGCACUGUUAGUGAUGCCAACGUUGGAGUCGACCCUGAGAGAAUCUUCUCUCAAUUUCACUGAGAAAGUAAUGAAUGGCUCUUUGUAACAGUUUCUAAAUAAGGUUCUUCGUUGCGUAAAGCUUUUAGAGACAAUGCAAAUGAGAUUCUCAAACGUCACUUCAAUCUCAAACAAAGAUUUUGCUUCAAGGUUUCAGUUAAUGGGGAUGCAUAGACACAUGGAACAGCGAGUUGAUUUUAUGGACUGGGGUCCAGGUUAUGU